rnacentral:rRNA from 1 species
AACGCGAAGAACCUUACCUGGGCUCGAAAUGCAGUGGAAGUCGGAUGAAAGUCCGGUGCCCGCAAGGGCCGCUGUAUAGGUGCUGCAUGGCUGUCGUCAGCUCGUGUCGUGAGAUGUUGGGUUAAGUCCCGCAACGAGCGCAACCCUUAUCCUUAGUUGCCAUGCCGAAAGGCGGCACUCUAAAGAGACAGCCGGCCACAAGCCGGAGGAAGGUGGGGAUGACGUCAAGUCCUCAUGGCCUUUAUGUCCAGGGCUACACACGUGCUACAAUGGGCGGUACAAAGCGUCGCAAACCCGCGAGGGGGAGCCAAUCGCAAAAAACCGCUCUCAGUUCGGAUUGCAGUCUGCAACUCGACUGCAUGAAGCUGGAAUCGCUAGUAAUCGCGGAUCAGCACGCCGCGGUGAAUACGUUCCCGGGCCUUGUACACACCGGCUAC